rnacentral:rRNA from 1 species
AACGCUAGCGGCAGGCCUAAUACAUGCAAGUCGAACGGUAACAUUCCCGAUUUAUCGGGAGAUGACGAGUGGCGCACGGGUGCGUAACGCGUAUGCAACCUACCCUUUACUGGGGGAUAGCCCGGAGAAAUUCUGAUUAAUACCCCAUGGUACUGUAAUGUAGCAUUACAUAGCAGUUAAAGAUUUAUUGGUAAAGGAUGGGCAUGCGUGACAUUAGUUAGUUGGUAAGGUAACGGCUUACCAAGACGAUGAUGUCUAGGGGUUCUGAGAGGAAGGUCCCCCACACUGGUACUGCGACACGGACCAGACUCCUACGGGAGGCAGCAGUAGGGAAUAUUGGUCAAUGGGCGAAAGCCUGAACCAGCCAUGCCGCGUGCAGGAAGACGGCCCUAUGGGUUGUAAACUUCUUUUGUAUGGGAAGAAACGCAGCUACGUGUAGCUGGUUGCGUGUACUAUAUGAAUAAGCACCGGCUAACUCCGUGCCAGCAGCCGCGGUAAUACGGAGGGUGCGAGCGUUAUCCGGAUUUAUUAGGUUUAAAGGGUGUGCAGGCGGGGAUUUAAGUCAGUAGUGAAAUCUCGAAGCUCAACUUCGAACGUGCUAUUGAAACUGUAGAGCUUGAGUACAGACGAGGCAGGCGGAAUGUGUGGUGUAGCGGUGAAAUGCAUAGAUAUCACACAGAACACCGAUUGCGAAGGCAGCUCACUAAGCUGCAACUGACGCUGAGGCACGAAAGCGUGGGUAGCGAACAGGAUUAGAUACCCUGGUAGUCCACGCCGUAAACGAUGAUUACUGGUUGUAGGCGAUACAUUGUCUGUGACUGAGCGAAAGUAUUAAGUAAUCCACCUGGGGAGUACGUUCGCAAGAAUGAAACUCAAAGGAAUUGACGGGGGCCCGCACAAGCGGAGGAACAUGUGGUUUAAUUCGAUGAUACGCGAGGAACCUUACCUGGACUUAAAUGGAGUGACCAUCUGUGAAAGCAGAUUUUCCUUCGGGACAGUCUACGAGGUGCUGCAUGGUUGUCGUCAGCUCGUGCCGUGAGGCGUCGGGUUAAGUCCCAUAACGAGCGCAACCCCUAUCUUUAAUUGCCAUCAGGUAAUGCUGGGGACUCUAAAGAAACUGCCUACGCAAGCAGUGAGGAAGGCGGGGAUGACGUCAAAUCAGCACGGCCCUUACGUCCAGGGCUACACACGCGCUACAAUGGUCGAUACAGAGGGCAGCUACCUGGUGACAGGAUGCAAAUCUCGAAAAUCGAUCUCAGUUCGGAUCGAAGUCUGCAACUCGACUUCGUGAAGUUGGAUUCGCUAGUAAUCGCAUAUCAGCCAUGAUGCGGUGAAUACGUUCCCGGGCCUUGUACACACCGCCCGUCAAGCCAUGGAAGCUGGGGGUACCUGAAGUUCGUGACCGCAAGGAGCGACCUAGG